rnacentral:tRNA from 1 species
CCGGUCGCGGGGGUUCGCGGCCGGUCCUGCCUCUUCCGGUGGGGCGGGCCGGGGUUCGGGGCCGUGCGCCGGGA